rnacentral:rRNA from 1 species
UACGAAGGGGCUAGCGUUGCUCGGAAUCACUGGGCGUAAAGGGUGCGUAGGCGGGUCUUUAAGUCAGGGGUGAAAUCCUGGAGCUCAACUCCAGAACUGCCUUUGAUACUGAAGAUCUUGAGUCCGGGAGAGGUGAGUGGAACUGCGAGUGUAGAGGUGAAAUUCGUAGAUAUUCGCAAGAACACCAGUGGCGAAGGCGGCUCACUGGCCCGGUACUGACGCUGAGGCACGAA